rnacentral:rRNA from 1 species
CCUACGGGUGGCUGCAGUGGGGAAUAUUGGACAAUGGGGGGAACCCUGAUCCAGCCAUGCCGCGUGUGUGAAGAAGGCCCUCGGGUUGUAAAGCACUUUCAGUGAGGAAGAACGCCUGGUGGUUAAUACCCAUCAGGAAAGACAUCACUCACAGAAGAAGCACCGGCUAACUCCGUGCCAGCAGCCGCGGUAAUACGGAGGGUGCGAGCGUAAAUCGGAAUUACUGGGCGUAAAGCGCGCGUAGGUGGCUUGAUAAGCCGGUUGUGAAAGCCCCGGGCUCAACCUGGGAACGGCAUCCGGAACUGUCAAGCUAGAGUGCAGGAGAGGAAGGUAGAAUUCCCGGUGUAGCGGUGAAAUGCGUAGAGAUCGGGAGGAAUACCAGUGGCGAAGGCGGCCUUCUGGACUGACACUGACACUGAGGUGCGAAAGCGUGGGUAGCAAACAGGAUUAGAUACCCGAGUAGUC